rnacentral:rRNA from 1 species
GGGUGGGUGCUUAUUGAACCCACAAUCCGUGAGCUGGAUGUCAAAAUUAGAGAAGCUGAAAAUGAUACACAUGACAGGAAGAGAAAGUGUGAAGCACUCUACCCAAUUUUCCGCAUUUCAAGAAGCCAUUACAUUUAUGAUCUUUUCUAUAGAAGAAGGAAGGAUAUAUCAAAUGAGCUGUAUGUGUUUUGCCUGGACCAGGGUUAUGCAGACCGUAAUCUGAUUGUAAAGUGGAAAAGGUCAGUUGCCUCAACUUUAUAUCAUUUAAGCUAG